AGUGAACGCUGGCGGUAGGCCUAACACAUGCAAGUCGAACGGCAGCACAGUAAGAGCUUGCUCUUACGGGUGGCGAGUGGCGGACGGGUGAGGAAUACAUCGGAAUCUACUUUUUCGUGGGGGAUAACGUAGGGAAACUUACGCUAAUACCGCAUACGACCUACGGGUGAAAGCAGGGGAUCUUCAGACCUUGCGCGAUUGAAUGAGCCGAUGUCGGAUUAGCUAGUUGGCGGGGUAAAGGCCCACCAAGGCGACGAUCCGUAGCUGGUCUGAGAGGAUGAUAGGCCACACUGGAACUGAGACACGGUCCAGACUCCUACGGGAGGCAGCAGAGUGGAAUAUUGGACAAUGGGCGCAAGCCUGAUCCAGCCAUACCGCGUGGGUGAAGAAGGCCUUCGGGUUGUAAAGCCCUUUUGUUGGGAAAGAAAAGCAGCAGGUUAAUACCCCGCUGUUCUGACGGUACCCAAAGAAUAAGCACCGGCUAACUUCGUG
rnacentral:rRNA from 1 species